UUGCCCUUAUACUCAUCAUCAAGCAUCCACACAUUUAAAUCAACCAACUCUCACAUUCAUUAAGCAUAAAACAUCAACUGAAUUUUUGCAAAUGGUCAAUUGGUCCAAAUCAUUUGGUUGAGUAAGGGAAGGCUUUUAUUCAAGUGGGUCAAGAGGUUCGAAAUCCAUGAUCUUUUAAAGUGGUUUACUCUCGAAACGAGUAGCCUUGACAUUGCACAUAAUAUAUCUAAGAAAGGGACCAACUCAUGCAUACAAUGCUCAAUCUCCAUUGUUCUACCCUUUUCCCAAAUAUACAAGUUACACAAUCACUUCAUAAUGUCGAACCCAACUCUCAUCUCUCACCAAAAGACCCCAAGAACACUUUGCACAUAAAACUC
rnacentral:lncRNA from 1 species